rnacentral:lncRNA from 1 species
CUGGAGGGCUCGGCGAAGCAGCUCGUCCCCUGCCCGGAGCGGAGGCGGUCGUCACAGAGCCGCCGUGAGUGCAUCGCGGCCCACGUCUGCGGAAAGGAAGAAGACAAGCCAACUGCGACGGCGCUGGGCUCACUGUCAGGAACGCCGCGCCGCCUGCUCUAUUUUCUGAGUAACUAAGGGUGCCCCGGGGAGCCUGAGGCCUCCCGCGGCAUUUAUUGGGCUCUUAUUUGGAGCGAGGAGCUAUGCUAAGCACCAAGGACACUGGGAAUGUAACAUAGGACCUAAGACCCAGCUGAGCCGCCACGUGACUGAAACCAUAUUAGCGACCUCCGGAGCAAGUGUCAAGCCUGGCAUCAUCUAGUCUUCCGUUUCCUGUCAGGAUCUCCUUCCAGCGCUGAGCCCAGCAUGAGCUGUUAACCCACAGACUUGGGAAGAAACAGAACGGCUCUUGUUUCAAGCCACCAAGUGAUGGGGUAGUUUGGGUAUAAAGCAAAGAUUAAAG